rnacentral:rRNA from 1 species
UACGUAGGGUGCGAGCGUUGUCCGGAAUUAUUGGGCGUAAAGAGCUCGUAGGCGGCCUGUCGCGUCGGAUGUGAAAGCCCGGGGCUUAACCCCGGGUCUGCAUUCGAUACGGGCAGGCUAGAGUUCGGUAGGGGAGAUCGGAAUUCCUGGUGUAGCGGUGAAAUGCGCAGAUAUCAGGAGGAACACCGGUGGCGAAGGCGGAUCUCUGAGCCGAUACUGACGCUGAGGAGCGAAAGCGUGGGGAGCGAACAGG